UUCCAAAGUGACAAACAACUGUGUGGUAGAAAAAAUUAUAACGAUUAUUACUGCAAUACUCAUCACUUUUUUGAUUCUACGUAACUUCAAAAGCGAGAGCAAUAAUUGUGAAUACUUUAAUGACACCAUAAAUUAAGUAAAGCACGUACAUCAGGUACCUGGAAAUAUAGCAGCUUUGCUGAGAUGAAAACCUUGAAAAAAAGAAGAAAGAUUUGUUAUUUUCGUCUUGGUAUAUUUGAAAUGCCAGCGAAAAGUACGUAUAGGAAUUUGGGGGAGGGAGUAAGGCCAAUAUAAGCCUCUUGAGAGCUGAAAUUAAAUGUUUCUUUGCGCUAUAACAACAAUGCUACACUAACUUCCCCCUUCUUCUGGAGAAUAUUGCAACAAAAAAGGUGGGGCAAAUUAUCGUUUCAAUCCGUUUACAGGAAAUGAAUUUUUACAAUCACUCACGUAUUUGGGAUGUACAUGUGAAUCCACGACAUGCAUGUGGACGUCACGAGGCCAAUUUAAAAAAAAGCGGAUUCAAAAAUAUUGAGAUACGUGUUGACGAGUCAUAAACAUUAUACCGACUGUAUGAAUACAAGUGAUCAAAUUGCAUUAAACCAUUCAGUCAAUGCCAAUCAUCCCAGAGACAAGAAAUUAGAACAGUUGAUUAAACUGUCUGAGAUCUCACUAUGGUACUCUCACGAUAUUUCCAAAACGUCUAUGCUUCCUUUAUUUACGGAUUCCUUAUUCUUACAAGUUUGAUCUCAGUAUAUCCAAUGACCAAUACUGGCGAUUUUUUGGAAACUUGCAAUUCGACUCAACCAAAUCAUAUAAAUAACUCAAGGAAUUCAUCUGGUUUACGUAAUCAAAGUGCUAGUUUUUCACUUGGCCAAGAAACAUUAAUAACAACGAUGGUGGUCUCCACAAUUAGUGUCCUAACAAAUGGUCUUCUUAUUGUUGUUAUUGUGAAGGAUCCUUUAAGCAAACUAAGACGAGGACCUUGGAUUACAAUCUUAAGCUUAUCUAUUGCUGAUUUCACUGCAUCUUUGUCCCAAUUCAUGAUUGUUGGAUUGGGUAAAUUGUUCGAGGUCAAACCAUCAGAAGCUGUCAUUUAUUCUGUCCUUUUCUUUUGGAUGUUUGGGGCUGCGGGCUCAUUUUUUCACUUGACAUCACUCACAUGGCAAAAUUACAUAAUUGCAAAGUAUCCCAUACGUAGCCGACAGAUGUUGUCUACCAGGAAAAUAUACAUAUUAUGCGUGACUGUUUGGUUGAUUGCCAUUGUCAUGGCAUUUGGUGAACUCACACCAAUUUACAGCAAGAAUAACGAACAGCCUAUGUACACCUAUAUCACGGUAUAUGCUGUCUUGGAAAUCGCUGUUUUACUUCAGAUCAUAUUGAAGUGUUUCAUACUUAAGGUUGUAUUGUAAAGUCGACAAGACACUAAAGUAAAUGCUGAAUAGCACAACACUAAACACUUUGAAAUUGUAAAGGCAAUCAUUGUGCUGAAUGUCUUAUUACUGGUAACUGCAUUUCCUUAUUUUGUCGCCAAACAAUUGGAGUUUUUUUCAAAGGCUAGGAAAAAUACAAGGUGAAUUGGCUUGGCGUUUUUCUUACUACUACGAACCAGUUGCCAUGGUGAAUUUUGCUGUCAAUCCAAUUGUGUAUGCACUGAGGCUUCCAGAUUAUCGAAACAGUAUGAAGGCGCUGUUUAAAAAGACUAGAAUUUUUUCCAUUCAAAAACCAGGGCAUUCCCUCUUUUCACUUCGUACUAGUGCUAGUAAACCUGUAUGAUAGAUAAUAUGUUCUAAACUCAAUUUGAUUAAAAAUGUACGAAUAGUGCUAAUAGUUUUUAUUGGAAGGAUAAAUUCCAAAGUGACAAACAACUGUGUGGUAGAAAAAAUUAUAACGAUUAUUACUGCAAUACUCAUCACUUUUUUGAUUCUACGUAACUUCAAAAGCGAGAGCAAUAAUUGUGAAUACUUUAAUGACACCAUAAAUUAAGUAAAGCACGUACAUCAGGUACCUGGAAAUAUAGCAGCUUUGCUGAGAUGAAAACCUUGAAAAAAAGAA